AAAACGCAACGGUCGAAUCCCCUCGAAUUCGAAUUGCAACCGGUGCCACACCCACACCCACACCCACACCCCACCUCACAUGGCGUCGCCGCAAGCAGACGAAGAGAUAGUGGCGGUGCUCGACGAGGAGACUCUAGCGCUGAUGGGGGUCAGCAACGCCGCCACCGCAGCGCGGGUGGCGGUGGGCGCCGAGUGGGAGAAGUUCAAGGAGAACGUGCGGCCGCUCAAGCGCGGGCACGACGUGUCCAAACUCAACCACGCGCUCGCUCAAGGCACACGCCAAUCCCUCCCAGCGCACCGCUCUCGUCGAAGCCCGCAAGUUGAUUUUCCUGAUUCAGAAAGAUGAUCGAGGCAAUCUACGAGUACCGAGGCGAGGAUCCGCUCCAACCGUGGCUGGACUGCAUCAAGUGGGUCCAGGAGUCAUUCCCGACCGGCGGCGACAGUGCGUGCGGACCUUAUGGCACGACGAGCGCUACAAGGACGACAUCCGCUUUCUCAAAGUGUGGCUGGAAUACGCUGGGAACUGUGCUGAUGCCGAGGUGACAUACAGGUUCCUGGAGGCCAACCAGAUUGGGCAGGGCCAUGCCAUCUACUACAUGGCUUACGCAUCGUUGAUGGAGUCAAAGAACAAGUUGAGGAAAGCUAAUGAGAUCUUUGAUCUUGGUAUA